rnacentral:tRNA from 1 species
GUGCAGCUCAGUGGUAGAGUGCUUGCCUGGCAUGUGCGCGGCCCUGGGUUCGAUCCCCAGCAGCACA